rnacentral:lncRNA from 1 species
UUUUUUCUUUUUUCCUCUUAUUCUUCUUCUCCUUCUUCUUGUUUUCUUAUUCUCUUCUUGUUGUUGUUGUUGUUGUUGUUCUUCUUCUUAUUUUCUUUUUUCCUCUUAUUCUUCUCUUCCUCUCCUAUUUUUCUUCUUCUUCUUCUUCUUAUUCUUUCUUCACCUUCCCUUCCUUUUCCUUCUUCUUCUUUUUGUUCUUCUUCCUAUUUUUUUCUUCUCCUUUCUCCUUCUUCUUCUUCUCCUUUCUCGUCCUUCUUCUCCUU